rnacentral:rRNA from 1 species
CGAACGCUGGCGGCGUGCUUAACACAUGCAAGUCGAACGGGCCCGCCCCUGUUUUUGGGGGUGGGUUGAGUGGCGAACGGGUGAGUAUCACGUGAGUAACCUGCCCCCUGCUCCUGGAUAACUGCUUGAAAGGGCGGCUAAUACGGGGUGUGCCGGCUGGUCCGCAUGGGCCUGGUCGGGAUAGUUUCAUCUUCGGGUGUUUCGGUGGGGGAUGGGCUCGCGGCCUAUCAGCUUGUUGGUGGGGUGAUGGCCCACCAAGGCGGUGACGGGUAGCCGGCCUGAGAGGGUGGGCGGCCACACUGGGACUGAGACACGGCCCAGACUCCUGCGGGAGGCAGCAGUGGGGGGUAUUGCACAAUGGGCGGAAGCCUGAUGCAGCGACGUCGCGUGAGGGAUGGAGGCCGUCGGGUGGUGAACCUCUUUCUCCGGUGGUGAAGGCCCUGUCCGUUGCGGCGGGGUUGACGGUAGCCGGGUAUGAAGCGCCGGCUAACUACGUG